CCUACGGGUGGCAGCAGUGGGGAAUAUUGCACAAUGGGCGCAAGCCUGAUGCAGCCAUGCCGCGUGUGUGAAGAAGGCCUUCGGGUUGUAAAGCACUUUCAGCGGGGAGGAAGGCGGUGAGGUUAAUAACCUCAUCGAUUGACGUUACCCGCAGAAGAAGCACCGGCUAACUCCGUGCCAGCAGCCGCGGUAAUACGGAGGGUGCAAGCGUUAAUCGGAAUUACUGGGCGUAAAGCGCACGCAGGCGGUCUGUCAAGUCGGAGGUGAAAUCCCCGGGCUCAACCUGGGAACUGCAUUCGAAACUGGCAGGCUAGAGUCUUGUAGAGGGGGGUAGAAUUCCAGGUGUAGCGGUGAAAUGCGUAGAGAUCUGGAGGAAUACCGGUGGCGAAGGCGGCCCCCUGGACAAAGACUGACGCUCAGGUGCGAAAGCGUGGGGAGCAAACAGGAUUAGAUACCCCGGUAGUC
rnacentral:rRNA from 1 species